rnacentral:lncRNA from 1 species
CUCUUCUUCCUUCCUUCCUUCCCUCUCCCUACUCCUCUUCCUCCUUUCGUUGAGACAAGGUCUCAUUGUGUAAGCACAGGUACCUUGGAACUAACAGUGUAGACCAGAUUGACUUUAAACUCCCAGAGAUCUCUCUGCCCCUCUUGGCCUCCUGAGUGCUGAGAGUAAAGGUCUACACCACCAUGCUUGGCUAAUCCUUUUCUUUUUAAGGCAGAGAUUCCUGUAGUAGCCAGUGACACCCUUGAAGUCGGGAUCCUCAAACCUCCAUGUUCCAAGUGCUGCACUUACAGGCGUGUGACAUCUUGCUGAGCUUAAAACCUUGAGGGAGCUGACAAUCCGGAAUGAUGGAGCCUUCUGUGUGACUUUAAGGGUGUGCCCUGGAGACUAUUCAAGCUGUAGCUGAAUGUUGACCUGUGCUGUUGGAGGCAGUUCCAGGAGAUUGGCUCAGCUGACACAGAGUUUGAUGAGAGAUUUCCAAGACAGAAUCAGAGAUCCUUUCAAGUGGUUUAGAGAAAACUUGUUUCUCUGCACUCAAGAAAUGCUUACCAUCUCUUAAAGGGGUGAACAUCUGUAAUGCUGAUGCUUGGUGGGCUGAGGCAGGAGAGUUACUGUGAGUUUAAGGCAGUCGACAGCUGUAAAGAAUGAAGAAAUGCGGUCUUAGAAGUAAGUAAGGCUGGAAGACCUUACCAAGCUGCAAA